rnacentral:rRNA from 1 species
UAGGGAAUAUUGGGCAAUGGCCGAGAGGCUGACCCAGCCAUGCCGCGUGCAGGAAGAAGGCCUUCUGGGUUGUAAACUGCUUUUACCAGGGAAGAAAACGCUCCUGCGGGAGUAACUGACGGUACCUGGUGAAUAAGCACCGGCUAACUCCGUGCCAGCAGCCGCGGUAAUACGGAGGGUGCAAGCGUUGUCCGGAUUUAUUGGGUUUAAAGGGUGCGUAGGCGGCCCUGUAAGUCAGCGGUGAAAUCCCAGGGCUCAACCCUGGAACUGCCGUUGAUACUGCAGGGCUUGAGUUCGGUUAAGGCGGGCGGAACUGGUGGUGUAGCGGUGAAAUGCAUAGAUACCACCAAGAACCCCGAUUGCGUAGGCAGCUCGCUGAGCCGAAACUGACGCUGAGGCACGAAAGCGUGGGGAGCGAACA